CUAGGUUCUAUACAGACAACCACAGCCUUCCAUAAGAAGAAAGUAGAGGGAGAUGAGGGUUUCCAGGCUGAAGCGGAAUUCUUCCUGUCAGAGGUUUGCCCCGGCAAGAGAUAAGACCCCAGAUAAGGGCCCUACACAGAACCAUCUAUCAAUGCCUCUGCCUGUCCGCCCUCCUGCCAAUCAAUACUACAGUUCCGUUCUUCAGCACUACAGCUUUUAUGUGCUUGGUUGCCCGGACAUGUCCCUGUGUAGAGGCCGCGAUCAGUGAAUAUCAGGUUUAUGUGGCAUUCUCUCGUCACUGCAAGAGCAUCAGCAACUGUUGUGAAUUGCCUUGAUAUGAUGGUCUUAUGCUUAAGACAACUAACCUAAUCAGAACAUUUUUCAUAUGCCAGAAUCUGGACCAAAAAGAACACAUCACAUAUGGGGUUCCCAGGACGUUCAACCUGAAGCUUUUCAAUGCACUAUCAAGAUCUUAUUUGGAAUAUUGUAUUCAGUUUUGAUUACACUAUUAUGAAAUGGAUUUUAAAGCAUUAGUAAGAGUUCAAAGGGCACAAGAAUGAUUUCUGGUAUACAGAAAUUGCAGUAGCUGGUAAGCAGGCUGGUCUGGUGAACUCAGUUACUUAAGAAGUAGGGAUUCCUCCAAUACAGCACCAAAGCAGCUCCUCCCAACCAGUGGAAAGAUCUACCUUUUCCUUUUGUUCAAUACCCCACCCAGUCACUGCCAUUGUAGCCAAGGAAGGCACUGAGGAUUCCAUUCCUCCAGCAUAUAAAAGAGACACCAAUAUACACCCAGCAUAACUUUUCCUAGCAUGUUAUCUUGGCUGCAGUUUCAGUGACUCAAAAAUAUUUUUUCAGCUUCUCUGGAUAAAACUGGAGACAAGUUCAGUGGCCGUUUCACGAUGUUGUACACUCUGUGAAGACUAAUGAAGACUAAUGCUGUAUUCCCACUGCUUUUUAAAUUAUGAAA